CAUGGAAAGGGAAGUUGUGUUAAGGCUUUGCCCAGAUGUCAAUAGUUUCCCAAAUUCUGUGGGCCUUUUGAGCUCAUUUCAGCCUGACAAUAGGGCUGAUGGUUUGGGAGAGGGAGAGAGAGAGAGGGACCCCCUUCAUGGAGCUGCUGCUCUGGGUCAAGUGCCUGAAUAUAAAAGACGAAUAUGGAAAUGUCACUCUCUUCAAAUGCUUUCAGUCUAGAUGGGGAGUUGGAACCGUAAAACAAACGAAGAAGCAAUGUGACAAGGGAAACGAGUUCAGAGGAGGCACUUUCAUCAGCGGGCAGCUGAGUCUCCAGAAAGCAGGCCCAAGGAGUAGCGGGGAGUUUUUCUUCCCUCCAAGCCUCAUAUCCAGCCUCCCAUCUCCCCAGCCACAGUCAAGGUUGCAGCUACCAAAGCUUCAUCAUCAUAGAUGCAACAAAGUCAACUUCACAAGACAGAAAAGAAUAUUCCUCUCAACACCUGUGCCAAGGGCAACGAAAGUUCAUAAUUAAAGAACCAGCUGAACAAAACUGUAAAGAGCAUAAAGUGAUUGUGAAAUCAGACUUUAAAAUUCAUUUUAUGUGUAUUUUAUAAAAGCUGGCAAAAGGGAAGGAACACGAUCCUACCUAGGGAUGGCUGCUUCUCUGUCACCAUACAGUGUAUAGCGAGAGACUGAUUCAUCGAGAAGAACUGCAGACUGCUGAUCUCGUAGGUGGUGGGGCCAGUAAAGAACUUCAGACAGACUGCACUGGAAGUAGAGAGACUUUAGGGGGAAGAGUUUUGCCUCCUGCAGCACCCAAGGUGACCACGAUUCCAUAAAGUUGGACCCAGAUGGAUACCUAACCGAAAUUAACUCAAGAAGAACUGGACAACCUGAAUAGCCCCCUCCCCUGCCACCGCAUCUCUUUUUAGGGCUGAACCUGCGUAUAGAAUUUCUUGGCUUAAGGGUCGAAUUGGAUCUGCAGCUGCUGGCCUAUAUCACAGCCACAGCAACACCAGAUCCGAGCUGCAUCUGUGACCUAUGCCAUAGCCUGCGGCAGGCAACCCAGGAUCCUUGACCCACUGAGCAAGGCCAGGAAGCGAACCCACGUCCUCAUGAAGACUAGUCAGAGAAGUCAGCUUCUUGGCAGAGCCUAAGUUUCAAUUUUCUUACACGCUGAUGGUGGCCUUUGACCUCUGGCCCAGUUUAACCGUUCCAGGAGAGUAUAAAUGUCAGCUGCUCUAGUCUUGGCUGCAUUACCACCGACCAGUCCUCAGCCGGCAACAUGAAGCUGGGUGGCCUCUGCCUCCUGCUCCUCCUCGCCGUCCUUCUCACCCUCAAUGCAGAGCUCCAGGCAGUUGAUGUAGGUAUCUGUGUGACGGAGUGCAAGGUAGACCAGGACUGUGGGGCAGGAAGACGAUGCACCAGCAAUGGAUGUGGCCGGGUCUGCUCCCCAAUCCAGCAAAGAGAGGCCUGCGAGCACCAGUGCAGAGAAGACAGGGACUGUGGGAGUGGACAUCAGUGCGUGAGGAAGGGCUGUGGGCACGUCUGCGCCCCCGUCCAUCAAGUCGAUGUAGGUAUCUGUGUGACGGAGUGCCGUGUAGACCAGGACUGUGGGGAAGGAAGACUAUGCAUCAGUAAUGGGUGUGGCCGUGUCUGCUUCCCAGUCCGGCGAAGAGAGGCCUGCGAGCACCAGUGCAGAGAAGACAGGGACUGUGGGAGUGGACAUCAGUGCGUGAGGAAGGGCUGUGGGCACGUCUGCGCCCCCGUCCAUCAAGUCGAUGUAGGUAUCUGUGUGACGGAGUGCCGUGUAGACCAGGACUGUGGGGAAGGAAGACUAUGCAUCAGUAAUGGGUGUGGCCGUGUCUGCUUCCCAGGGCGAAAAGAGGGCUGCGAGCACCAGUGCAGAGAAGACAGGGACUGUGGGAGUGGACAUCAGUGCGUGAGGAAGGGCUGUGGGCACGUCUGCGCCCCCGUCCAUCAAGUCGGUAUCUGUGUGACGGAGUGCAACGUAGACCAGGACUGUGGGGAAGGAAGACAAUGCACCAGCAAUGGGUGUGGCCGUGUCUGCUCCCCAGUCCAGCAAGAAGAUGUAGGUAUCUGUGUGACGGAGUGCAAGGUAGACCAGGACUGUGGGGAAGGAAGACGAUGCACCAGCAAUGGAUGUGGCCGUGUCUGCUCCCCAGUCCAGCAAAAAGAGGCCUGCGAGCACCAGUGCAGAGAAGACAGGGACUGUGGGAGUGGACAUCAGUGCGUGAGGAAGGGCUGUGGGCACGUCUGUGCCCCCGUCCAUCAAGUCGAUGUAGGUAUCUGUGUGACGGAGUGCAAGGUAGACCAGGACUGUGGGGCAGGAAGACGAUGCACCAGCAAUGGAUGUGGCCGUGUCUGCUCCCCAGCCCAGCAAAGAGAGGCCUGCGAGCACCAAUGCAGAGAAGACAAGGACUGUGGGAGUGGACAUCAGUGCGUGAGGAAGGGCUGUGGGCACGUCUGCUCCCCCAUCCCUCAAGUAGGUAUCUGUGUGACGGAGUGCAAUGUAGACCAGGACUGUGGGGCAGGAAGACGAUGCACCAGCAAUGGAUGUGGCCGUGUCUGCUCCCCACCCCAGGGAGGAGGACUCUGUGUGGACCGCUGCCGAGGAAACUGGGACUGUGGGGCCGGAGAAGAAUGUAUCAGGAAGGGAUGUGGACGGGUCUGCUCUCCAGCCCAGGAGCCAGUGGUAGGUAUCUGUGUGGAUCAGUGCCAAAGACACUGGGAAUGUGGUCCACGGAUGCGGUGUGUCUCCACUGGAUGUGGCCACAUCUGCUCACCAGCCCAAGACCAAGUUGAACAGAGACCCGGAAAAUGUCCAGUGUUGCCAAAAGGAACGAUUGGACUUUGUGCUGAAUUUUGCUUCGGGGAUGACUCCUGUCCCAGCGGACAGAAGUGCUGCAGCAAUGGUUGUGGACACUCUUGCCAGACUGCUGUUCCAGACGAGAAAACCUUCCCUAGCCGUUUGGAUGACUGAUGAACCUUGGCCUCCUUCCAUAAUUGUUCCCACAUGUCACCUUUAUUUGAAGAGCUGGGCUUUUCCAGGAACUCCACCUUUGCCAGGAACCCCAGGAUCAUGGGGUGAGGUUCUAGAAUAACUUGGCUUAAGGGUUGAAUUCUGGCAAUUGUUCAAGGAAUAGUGCUUGCAAAGGAUCCUUCUUCUGAAUAAAACGACUUCUCUGGCAU
rnacentral:lncRNA from 1 species